rnacentral:rRNA from 1 species
AUUGAACGCUGGCGGCAGGCCUAACACAUGCAAGUCGAGCGGAUGAAGGGAGCUUGCUCCUGGAUUCAGCGGCGGACGGGUGAGUAAUGCCUAGGAAUCUGCCUGGUAGUGGGGGAUAACGUCCGGAAACGGGCGCUAAUACCGCAUACGUCCUGAGGGAGAAAGUGGGGGAUCUUCGGACCUCACGCUAUCAGAUGAGCCUAGGUCGGAUUAGCUAGUUGGUGGGGUAAAGGCCUACCAAGGCGACGAUCCGUAACUGGUCUGAGAGGAUGAUCAGUCACACUGGAACUGGGACACGGUCCAGACUCCUACGGGAGGCCGCAGUGGGGAAUAUUGGACAAUGGGCGAAAGCCUGAUCCAGCCAUGCCGCGUGUGUGAAGAAGGUCUUCGGAUUGUAAAGCACUUUAAGUUGGGAGGAAGGGCAGUAAGUUAAUACCUUGCUGUUUUGACGUUACCAACAGAAUAAGCACCGGCUAACUUCGUG